CUCAAGUUCACCACCCGACACCGUCCGCGGCCACGAGUAUAAAGGAGUGGUCUGACAGGACACCAGCACAGACCAGCUUAGCUUGCCUCUGAGACACCACUUUUCCCAACUCUCCAAAAUGAAGUUUAUUCAUCUGGCUUUGGUCGUCCUGGUGGCAUUGUCUGCAGUAUUCGCUGCCCCAGAGCCACACAAGAAAAAAGGUGGUGGCUUCGUGUCGCGACCAGUGCAACCGUGUGGUGCGUCCUGUGGUGCACCACCCGCGUGGUGAGACCUGUCGUGCACCAUGUGCCUGUGGUGAAGCACGUUCCCGUUGUACAGCACGUCCCUGUAGUGAAGCACGCUCCCAUUGUGCAUCACGCUCCCAUUGUGCAUCACGGUCCCGCGCUGAAAGGCGGCCACAAGGUGAAGCACGGCUAGGUGACAACAACUGUAAUGGGACGGAAGAUUGCCAUUACCUUCGGAUAUUCUUCGUUUCCACCGCCAUGUUCUGACGCACUGGCCGAGUCAUGCCAUUCAUUUUUCACGAAUUUAUCUCACCUGACCAUUUUUGGUACUGAUUCCUUCUUAUGCGUAUUUUGUGAUUUCUAAUAAAACUGUUUGAAAAA